GGCACGGUGGUGCAGUGGUUAGCAUCGCUGCCUCACAGCAAGAAGGUUGUGGGUUCGGAUCCGGCCUGGGGCC